GAUGAACGCUAGCGGGAGGCCUAAUACAUGCAAGUCGAACGGUAAGGUCCUUUCGGGGAUACACGAGUGGCGGACGGGUGCGUAACGCGUACGAAACAUACCUUCAACAGGGAGAUACCUCCGGGAAACUGGAAAUAAUACCCCAUAGUAUUGAGAUAUCGCAUGAUAUUUCAAUUAAAGCUUUGGCGGUUGAAGAUUGUCGUGCGUCUGAUUAGCUAGUUGGUGAGGUAACGGCUCACCAAGGCGACGAUCAGUAGCUGGUCUGAGAGGAUGAUCAGCCACACUGGAACUGAGACACGGUCCAGACUCCUACGGGAGGCAGCAGUAGGGAAUAUUGCUCAAUGGCCGAAAGGCUGAAGCAGCAACGCCGCGUGGAGGAUGAAAUACUUUAGUAUGUAAACUCCUGUAAGAGGGGAAAAUAUACAGUUCUGCUGUAUUGAUUGUACCCUCAGAGUAAGCACCGGCUAACUACGUGCCAGCAGCCGCGGU
rnacentral:rRNA from 1 species